rnacentral:rRNA from 1 species
GAUGAACGCUGGCGGCGUGCCUAAUACAUGCAAGUCGAGCGAACGGACGAGAAGCUUGCUUCUCUGAUGUUAGCGGCGGACGGGUGAGUAACACGUGGAUAACCUACCUAUAAGACUGGGAUAACUUCGGGAAACCGGAGCUAAUACCGGAUGAUAUUUUGAACCGCAUGGUUCAAAGUGAAAGACGGUCUUGCUGUCACUUAUAGAUGGAUCCGCGCUGCAUUAGCUAGUUGGUAAGGUAACGGCUUACCAAGGCAACGAUGCAUAGCCGACCUGAGAGGGUGAUCGGCCACACUGGAACUGAGACACGGUCCAGACUCCUACGGGAGGCAGCAGUAGGGAAUCUUCCGCAAUGGGCGAAAGCCUGACGGAGCAACGCCGCGUGAGUGAUGAAGGUCUUCGGAUCGUAAAACUCUGUUAUUAGGGAAGAACAUAUGUGUAAGUAACUGUGCACAUCUUGACGGUACCUAAUCAGAAAGCCACGGCUAACUACGUG